rnacentral:rRNA from 1 species
UACGAAGGGGGCUAGCGUUGCUCGGAAUCACUGGGCGUAAAGCGCACGUAGGCGGCUUUCUAAGUCAGGGGUGAAAUCCUGGAGCUCAACUCCAGAACUGCCUUUGAUACUGGAGAGCUUGAGUCCGGGAGAGGUGAGUGGAACUCCGAGUGUAGAGGUGAAAUUCGUAGAUAUUCGGAGGAACACCAGUGGCGAAGGCGGCGACCUGGUCCUUGACUGACGCUGAGGCGCGAAAGCGUGGGGAGCAAACAGG